rnacentral:tRNA from 1 species
GGCCUUGUAGCUCAGUUGGCUAGAGCGUUGACUGUACAAAAGCCUUUCCCUUGCUGGCGUGGGUUCGAAUCCCACCGAGGCCG